UACGUAGGGCGCAAGCGUUAUCCGGAAUUAUUGGGCGUAAAGAGCUCGUAGGCGGUCUGUCACGUCGGCUGUGAAAACCCGAGGCUCAACCUCGGGCCUGCAGUCGAUACGGGCAAACUAGAGUACUGCAGGGGAGACUGGAAUUCCUGGUGUAGCGGUGAAAUGCGCAGAUAUCAGGAGGAACACCGGUGGCGAAGGCGGGUCUCUGGGCAGUAACUGACGCUGAGGAGCGAAAGCGUGGGGAGCGAACAGGA
rnacentral:rRNA from 1 species